CAGUCGCCGCGGUAAUACGUAGGGCGCAAGCGUUAUCCGGAAUUAUUGGGCGUAAAGAGCUCGUAGGCGGUUUGUCGCGUCUGCCGUGAAAGUCCGGGGCUCAACCCCGGAUCUGCGGUGGGUACGGGCAGACUAGAGUGAUGUAGGGGAGACUGGAAUUCCUGGUGUAGCGGUGAAAUGCGCAGAUAUUAGGAGGAACACCGAUGGCGAAGGCAGGUCUCUGGGCAUUAACUGACGCUGAGGAGCGAAAGCAUGGGGAGCGAACAGGAUUAGAUACCCCCGUAGUCCCUGUCUCUUAUAC
rnacentral:rRNA from 1 species